rnacentral:rRNA from 1 species
GGGUUGUGAGGUUAAGCGACUAAGCGUACACGGUGGAUGCCCUGGCAGUCAGAGGCGAUGAAGGACGUGCUAAUCUGCGAUAAGCGCCGGUAAGGUGAUAUGAACCGUUAUAACCGGCGAUUUCCGAAUGGGGAAACCCAGUGUGAUUCGUCACACUAUCAUUAACUGAAUCCAUAGGUUAAUGAGGCGAACCGGGGGAACUGAAACAUCUAAGUACCCCGAGGAAAAGAAAUCAACCGAGAUUCCCCCAGUAGCGGCGAGCGAACGGGGAGGAGCCCAGAGCCUGAAUCAGCAUGUGUGUUAGUGGAAGCGUCUGGAAAGGCGCGCGAUACAGGGUGACAGCCCCGUACACAAAAGCGCAUGUGCUGUGAGCUCGAUGAGUAGGGCGGGACACGUGGUAUCCUGUCUGAAUAUGGGGGGACCAUCCUCCAAGGCUAAAUACUCCUGACUGACCGAUAGUGAACCAGUACCGUGAGGGAAAGGCGAAAAGAACCCCGGCGAGGGGAGUGAAAAAGAACCUGAAACCGUGUACGUACAAGCAGUGGGAGCACCCUUUGGGGUGUGAC